CCUACGGGAGGCUGCAGUGGGGAAUAUUGGGCAAUGGGCGCAAGCCUGACCCAGCAACGCCGCGUGAAGGAUGAAGGUUUUCGGAUUGUAAACUUCUGUCGCGAGGGACGAAGAAUGACGGUACCUCUUGAAUAAGCCCCGGCUAACUACGUGACAGCAGCCGCGGUAAUACGUAGGUGGCAAGCGUUGUCCGGAUUUACUGGGUGUAAAGGGCGUGCAGCCGGGAAGACAAGUCAGAUGUGAAAUCCCGCGGCUCAACCGCGGAACUGCAUUUGAAACUGUUUUUCUUGAGUACCGGAGAGGUCAUCGGAAUUCCUUGUGUAGCGGUGAAAUGCGUAGAUAUAAGGAAGAACACCAGUGGCGAAGGCGGAUGACUGGACGGCAACUGACGGUGAGGCGCGAAAGCGUGGGGAGCAAACAGGAUUAGAUACCCGAGUAGUC
rnacentral:rRNA from 1 species